rnacentral:rRNA from 1 species
AUACGUAGGGUGCGAGCGUUGUCCGGAAUUACUGGGCGUAAAGAGCUCGUAGGUGGUUUGUCGCGUCGUCUGUGAAAUUCCGGGGCUUAACUCCGGGCGUGCAGGCGAUACGGGCAUAACUUGAGUACUGUAGGGGAGACUGGAAUUCCUGGUGUAGCGGUGAAAUGCGCAGAUAUCAGGAGGAACACCGGUGGCGAAGGCGGGUCUCUGGGCAGUAACUGACGCUGAGGAGCGAAAGCAUGGGUAGCGAACAGGAUUAGAUACCCUGGUAGUCCAUGCCGUAAACGGUGGGCGCUAGGUGUAGGGGUCUUCCACGACUUCUGUGCCGUAGCUAACGCAUUAAGCGCCCCGCCUGGGGAGUACGGCCGCGAGGCUAAAACUCAAAUGAAUUGACGGGG